rnacentral:rRNA from 1 species
UAAAAUGGCAUUAGCACAUUGAAUGCAUAGUUCUCAAUGGAAUACUGAAGUUAAGAAACGUUGCACGUGGUAUGGUAUUCGGAUGGAUGACCAUCUGAAUAAUCAUGUGUUGCUGACU